UUUCCGUAGGUGAACCUGCGGAAGGAUCAUUACCGGGACUGACUUUGAAAAAAGUCAUCUCCAUGACCCUUUUUGUUUAUUCAAAAAUGUCUUUUCUUCGGCAAGACGUCUAAUUUUCGAAUUGGCCAUUGACUCGCAAGAGUGAAUGAGUUUGCUUGCCGAAGUAUCUACUCUUUUUUACUAUUGUCUGAGUAACCAAAAAAUAAAUUAAAACUUUCAACAACGGAUCUCUUGGUUCUGGCAUCGAUGAAGAACGCAGC
rnacentral:misc_RNA from 1 species